rnacentral:rRNA from 1 species
AUUAAUUUCUUAAACAAUACUGUGAACAAACCAGAGUGUAUAAAACAUGUAAUAUAUUAUAUAUUUUAGCAAUGAAUGUUUUAUCAUGGAAUAUUGUCGUAUAUAUAAAUGUCGAUGGAGAUAGUUGGAGUUAAGAGUACUGAUAGGCGAGCGGUGAAAUGCAUUGACCCUAUUAAGACUAACAAAAGCGAAAGCACUUAACUAGAUUAUUCUCUUUGUAUUAUUACAAUGAAGAGCGAAGGUUGGGGGAACAAAGAGGAUCAGAUACCCUCGUAGUCCUAUUUUUACAUCAAACUAUGGGAUUUCAUUCAACAACUUCUACAAAAUACAUUUUUGAUUAUAAUGUGAUUGAGGUGAACAUGUGUUUUCCUCUCAUAUAUAUGAUUAAUAAUUAUUAUAUUUUAAUGAUUAUAUGUACUUUGAGCUCAUAUAAUUAUAUAGGUGAGAUGUAAGCAUUAUAGUGAAUAAUAUAUAAGUAAUAUUAUAUUAUUAUGAUCCUUAUUUAUAAAAAUGUAAUGUGAUG